rnacentral:rRNA from 1 species
CAACCGGGAUUGCCCUAGUAACGGCGAGUGAAGCGGCAAGAGCUCAAAUUUGAAAGCUGGCCCCCUCGGGGUCCGCAUUGUAAUUUGCAGAGGAUGCUUCGGGAACGGCCCCCAUCUAAGUGCCCUGGAACGGGCCGUCAUAGAGGGUGAGAAUCCCGUCUGGGAUGGGGUGGCCGCGCCCGUGUGAAGCUCCUUCGACGAGUCGAGUUGUUUGGGAAUGCAGCUCUAAUUGGGUGGUAAAUUUCAUCUAAAGCUAAAUAUUGGCCGGAGACCGAUAGCGCACAAGUAGAGUGAUCGAAAGAUGAAAAGCACUUUGAAAAGAGAGUUAAACAGCACGUGAAAUUGUUGAAAGGGAAGCGCUUGCGACCAGACUCGCCCGCGGGGUUCAGCCGGCACUCGUGCCGGUGUACUUCCCCGCGGGCGGGCCAGCGUCGGUUUGGGCGGCCGGUCAAAGGCCUCUGGAAGGUAACGCCUCUCGGGGCGUCUUAUAGCCAGGGGUGCCAUGCGGCCUGCCCGGACCGAGGAACGCGCUUCGGCUCGGACGCUGGCAUAAUGGUCGUAAGCGACCCGUCUUGAAACACGGACCAAGGAGUCUAACAUCUACGCGAGUGUUCGGGUGUCAAACCCGUGCGCGCAGUGAAAGCGAACGGAGGUGGGAACCCCCCGGGGUGCACCAUCGACCGAUCCUGAUGUCUUCGGAUGGAUUUGAGUAAGAGCGUAGCUGUUGGGACCCGAAAGAUGGUGAACUAUGCCUGAAUAGGGCGAAGCCAGAGGAAACUCUGGUGGAGGCUCGCAGCGGUUCUGACGUGCAAAUCGAUCGUCAAAUUUGGGUAUAGGGGCGAAAGACUAAUCGAAC